rnacentral:tRNA from 1 species
UAGAGGGGCUUAUAAAGUUACUGCUAAUAAUUUUUAGUCAAUUUGAUUUGACCUCUUCUUU